rnacentral:rRNA from 1 species
UGGAAAUCAUUCAUAGAGUGUAAAGGCAUAAGGGAGCUUGACUGCGAGACCUACAAGUCGAGCAGGGUCGAAAGACGGACUUAGUGAUCCGGUGGUUCCGCAUGGAAGGGCCAUCGCUCAACGGAUAAAAGCUACCCCGGGGAUAACAGGCUUAUCUCCCCCAAGAGUUCACAUCGACGGGGAGGUUUGGCACCUCGAUGUCGGCUCAUCGCAUCCUGGGGCUGUAGUCGGUCCCAAGGGUUGGGCUGUUCGCCCAUUAAAGCGGUACGCGAGCUGGGUUCAGAACGUCGUGAGACAGUUCGGUCCCUAUCCGUCGUGGGCGUAGGAAAUUUGAGAGGAGCUGUCCUUAGUACGAGAGGACCGGGAUGGACAUACCUCUGGUGUACCAGUUGUCGUGCCAACGGCAUAGCUGGGUAGCUAUGUAUGGACGGGAUAAGUGCUGAAAGCAUCUAAGCAUGAAGCCCCCCUCAAGAUGAGAUUUCCCAACUUCGGUUAUAAGAUCCCUCGAAGAUGACGAGGUUAAUAGGUUCGAGGUGGAAGCGUGGUGACACGUGGAGCUGACGAAUACUAAUCGAUCGAAGACUUAAUCAAUUUUUAAA